rnacentral:rRNA from 1 species
AGGACGAACGCUGGCGGCGUGCUUAACACAUGCAAGUCGAGCGGUAAGGCUCCUUCGGGAGUACACGAGCGGCGAACGGGUGAGUAACACGUGAGCAAUCUGCCCUUCUCUUUGGAAUAAGCGUGGGAAACCGCGUCUAAUGCCGAAUACGACUUCGGGAGGCAUCUCCUGAAGUGGAAAGCUCCGGCGGAGAAGGAUGAGCUCGCGGCCUAUCAGCUUGUUGGUGAGGUAAUGGCUCACCAAGGCGACGACGGGUA